UUCCUUCCUGCAUUUGGCAGUGGUCCACGUGGUAGAAAAUUUAAAUUCAUCAUACACCACUGAUUCAUACUGAAUUAACCUUUUUAUUAUAUAAAACAUCUAUCAAACAUCAGUUCUGAAGUAAAGGAAAUGGAGUAUAAUGUACUUAAGAACAACACUUUCCUGAGUAAUGGACAAAGAAAAUGAUCUCUUAUCCGUAACAGGAGUGGGCCUGUUGAUGUAAAGACACAGAAGUUCAAGUAUCUGAGAAUAAAGGAGGCAGAGCUGCAAGUCAGGCCUGUUCUGUUGCCCCAAGCUGAGCUAAUCAAUGUGGGGCUUGUACACCCAUGCUCCAGUGUCCAGGAAGAGGACCUGUAGUGCUCAUCUGCUGCUCAAUGCAUUCCUGCAGUCCAUUGCUUACUCCCAUGAUGGAGAACUGAAAGCAACGCUGGAUGUCAGUAUGUGAAAUCAAACCGAAGAGCUCUGUUAGUCCAAAUAAACAUAAUACCUAUUUGUACUGACUGCUGUAUCACCCUCUGCUCAUCUACACUGAACAUCUCAACAUUGAAAGAAUAUUUCUGGAAUAAGCACUCUAACAUCUAUGUGUUUGGAAUUGAAGUGAUGUCACUGAUGAGUAAAAGUCAGGAGAGUUCCUCGGGGAUUUGAUGACUGGGUCUGGUGCUUUGGAUUGCAGGCUGGACUGUGUUCAACGAGUCAUUAAAAAAACAAAAACCAAAAGAAAUUGGGAACUCCUGUCAGUUGAUGUUCCUAUCUUCCUUGUGCACAGAUAGACUUCAAAGACUUUCAUCAUGUUACUUCUGAUCCCAUUUACUAGAAUACACUUGUUAUGAAGGCAUGUAGGAAAGCUGAUUACUCUUACUAGUUUAGUCCUGGUGAGAAAAAAAAAGAAAAAACAGGCCCUGGAACAUUUAGAAGAGGACUUUGAUGAAGACAGCCCAUUAAGGGCUGAUUGCUCCAACAUCUCAUUGUCUGUAUGUUAUCGUUUUGAGGGUCUUUGUGAAAAUUUCCAUCUACUGCAAGAUGCUUCUCUGUCAUGGGAGAAGUUUGCUCAUAUA
rnacentral:lncRNA from 1 species